AUUGGAAGGUCGUUUUUAAGCUUGAGAAUGGUAAUAGACAUCCAGGUGGAGAUGACUAGGCGGCAGAUGAGUCUGGAGUUCAGGGCAGCUCUCCAUCGAUAUUUCUAGCUCGCUUUGUCUACAGUCAUGAGCAGUUGAACAUCAGAUACCCAGAGUGACAUCAGGUUAAAAAAAAGCCUGCAAUUUGGAUCUUUUCCUGACUCGGAAGCAAGGAAAAUGGACAAUUGAUAAUCAAAGGCUAAAUCUCUUCUGGGAUCCACUGAAUGCCACUAGAGGGUCUGCUCGAGAGAAUUCCUGAUUGAAUGACAACGGCGCUAAGAACAUCUUGACGCAGACUAUCCACCUGCAUAAGAAACGGGCGAUGGUGACAGAAGGAAAAAAAAGAACAAAGCCCUGCCGGGUGCCCCAGUGGGAGAAUUGGUCACCAUGAGAAGGGACCACAAACUGGCAGCUGAAACAACAGAAAUUGAUGUCCUGACAGUUCUGGAGGCUGAAGUCCGAGAUCAAGGUGUAGGCAGAUUAAGAAAAAUGAUUAAGAUCCUGUGUGCUUUGUCUUAGGAUUUUCUGAUUAUUUUUUUCUCUUUCAAAAGACUGCAAAUUGGAGAAGUUUCAGAAGCUUUUCCAUUCCGUGAGGAUCUUUUAUUUUCUUUUAUCUGUCCCCAAGAGCCUCUUUUUUUCUUCUUCCCAUUAUUUCUGACCAGAUAGGCUCUCUGUGCCUGUUUUUUGUUGGGAAAGAAACCUCUACCACAAGUUGCAGUUUCAUGUUCCCGGGGAGCAUUUCAGUGGUAACUCAGUCAUUAUAGGGGUGUUGUCUAAGAACUUGCCUAGCUGCAAUGGUCCUGCUGAUUCUGUUAUCUCUUUAAACAAUGCGGUAGACGUUAGAAUGGGCUGAUGAUUUAUUUUCCCAUUCUGGCAAGUUUUACAAGUGCUUCUUUCAUAAUAGGAGAGUCUUUUUUAAACGGGGGUAAUUUAGAUUUGUUUGUUCUUGGAAGGAGGGUGGGGUAUGAGGAAUGCCAUAAUCUUACAUUAUGGUAUUAAUCAUUCUUUGUUCAGUUUGUUCUUUUACAGGUUUAAUCUUGCAUUCAGUUUUGAUAGAGAACAUAAAGCAUUUUUUUAACCUAAUGAUGUCUCAAGUAGCGGUGGUACUUGAGAUGGCUCAUUUUGUACAUUACUUCAUGGAAAAUAGAUUCUUGGCACCCCCAACAACUAGUGUGAGCUGGCAAGCCACAGAUCCUUGGAGGUUCAGCUGCUUCCUCUGUUAAAAGCAGAUACUGACACAUAGUGAGUACAUCAGGCAAAUGAGCUUUAUUUGGGGAAUGUUGAAUUUAGGGUCCUGUUAGAACAUACAAAUAAAUUUGUCCUUAUAGCACUGUUUUGAGAUUAUAUAAGUACCUGGCAUAAUUAAGUAAUGGCAAUCACUAUAAUUAUCAUUAUUAAUUCAAGGUACCUUUUUCUUUUUCCUGAUGGAUAACCCUUACAUUCUUACAAAUACUAAAUUAAUGAAUAAGAAAAAAUGUGCAUAUAAUUUUGCUUUGAAAUUUCAAAUAAGG
rnacentral:lncRNA from 1 species